rnacentral:rRNA from 1 species
AUGGCUCAGGAUGAACGCUAGCGGCAGGCCUAAUACAUGCAAGUCGGACGGGAUCUCCCCUUCGGGGGAGUGAGAGUGGCGCACGGGUGCGUAACGCGUAUGCAACCAACCCUCAUCCGGGGGACAGCCGGUGGAAACGCCGGGUAAUACCCCAUGCCGAUUCCUGUGGGCAUCCACGGGGAUUGAAAGACUUCGGUCGGAGGAGGACGGGCAUGCGUCCCAUUAGCUAGUCGGCGGGGUGACGGCCCACCGAGGCGACGAUGGGUAGGGGAUCUGAGAGGACGGUCCCCCACACUGGUACUGAGACACGGACCAGACUCCUACGGGAGGCAGCAGUAAGGAAUAUUGGGCAAUGGGGGGAACCCUGACCCAGCCCAUGCCGCGUGAGGGAAGUAGGCCCUACGGGUCGUGAACCUCUUUUGUCCAGGGACAAGGACGGGGUCGGGAACUCCGUUUGAGGGUACUGGAAGAAUAAGCAUCGGCUAACUCCGUGCCAGCCGCAGC